GGCAACACCAGGCCUCCACAGCCCCAGUUUUGGGGAUCCAGCUAUCAGCUGUCUGCCUCUAAGCCAGGUGACCUCAACCUGGCUGUCUCUGGAAUGGGGAGAGGAAGAGGGCUGGCACCUGGCGUGGAAAAUGAGGGGCUGGCUUCUAACAAUGGACAGAUCUCCCAGCAGCCUGUGCGCUGCCCAGGAGGAAGAAAUGAAGGCGCAGCAGCAGAUUCACCAGAAAACUCUCCCCUGACGCCCGAUGAAGGCAAGAAAUGUGAGCUUUGCAAUA